ACUAAGAUAGCAAAGUAGGUUAAUGCAAAAGAUUUAGGAUUUUUCAUCAAAGGUUCAAAUCCUUUUUUUAGUU
rnacentral:tRNA from 1 species